rnacentral:rRNA from 1 species
GUAAGGAAUAUUGGUCAAUGGAGGCAACUCUGAACCAGCCAUGCCGCGUGCAGGAAGACGGCCCUCUGGGUUGUAAACUGCUUUUAUCCGGGAAUAAACCUGCCUUCGUGAAGGUAGCUGAAUGUACCGGAAGAAUAAGGAUCGGCUAACUCCGUGCCAGCAGCCGCGGUAAUACGGAGGAUCCAAGCGUUAUCCGGAUUUAUUGGGUUUAAAGGGUGCGUAGGCGGCCUGUUAAGUCAGGGGUGAAAGACGGUGGCUCAACCAUCGCAGUGCCCUUGAUACUGAUGGGCUUGAAUGGACUAGAGGUAGGCGGAAUGUGACAAGUAGCGGUGAAAUGCAUAGAUAUGUCACAGAACACCGAUUGCGAAGGCAGCUUACUAUGGUCCUAUUGACGCUGAGGCACGAAAGCGUGGGGAUCGAACAGGAUUAGAUACCCGGGUAGUCC